CCCCCCCCCAGCCUUGGGUGAGCCUGGGUGCACCUGACUGCGGGGGGAGGUGGGGGGGGCAGCUGGCGCCCAAGGCCAGCACCGUCGCUGUCCCAACGGGCCGCGGGCGAGGCGGCCGACUCUGCAGGCGGACCCAGCGGGGACCAGGUGACGCGGGGACGCAGAGGAGGCCACCUGCCACCAACAAAGCAGGUGCAGGGGCCAGGAGACCGGGGCGGGAGCGGUGCACGCCCAAGCAGCGCGGCGGUCGGGCAGCCCUCCUGCGCCUCUCCCCUGGGCGCGCGCUCCCUUGAGUAAGUACAGAGGACCUUCCAGGGAAGUGAAAGGUUAAGCCGUAGGGUUUUUAAAACAUUCCCAUGAAAACUGUAGCCAGGUGACACUUUGUAUGUGUAGUAACACAAAGAAAUAAAGCAAAUAGAAAAAAAACCCACAUUAUUUAUGACCCAUUAAUGAGUUUUAGCAAAUUGAUGCUCUGACGUUCAAAACAAAAGUAUAUUUUAAGGAGAGAUGUGAGUAGCCAGUAGAGAAGACUGGCCUACAGGCAAGGUUCAUGUCCUGAACAAAGGAAAAAAAGACGGAUCCCUGCAAAUACAGAUGCCUAUAUUAAUUAUGUUAACUGUAGCACGGAAACGAGUAAUUGCCCACAGUGUGGAAGAGUGCACUUAACUAGCCCAAACAUCUAAUGGAGGUGGGAGGAAUUUCCUUAUUACUUAAACAACCAUCUCUCCGCUCGAGUCCUACAGGCCAUUCCACUACCAACAGCUCCCCGAGAGGCCUGGGGGUCCCCGGAUAUUCCUGGAGACCUGGCGGUUCACACGCGGGCCUACGCGGGCCUCAGCAGAGCACCAGAACAUACUGUUGCUACAGUCGUCGCCUCAAAUACUGUUUUCUAAAACUAGAAAAUCCUGGUGGCAGGCCCAGCCCGAAGGGACUCCGAGCGAGCCGCAGCCCCGCUGACUCUCCAGUGCAGGCCGCAUCUGUGUUUGCGUCUUACCUAUAGGAAAUGGCCAAGACUGCAGAGGAGGGACUCGGACCCUUUCUGGCUUUGAAGACGAAAGCUGCUUUGGCUUUGGCUUGAACAGCCCCAAGAAAUGGCAACGCGGCAGAGAAACCAGGUGAGGCCUGGGGUGCUGGAGCAGCCCCUGAGCAGCCCCUGACAAAACAGCCUGGGCUCUUACAAUCCCAGGAACUGAAUUCUGCUAACAACCACAAGAACUUGGAAGAGGACCCCAACUUCUCGAAAGGAAUGUAGCCUGGCCAACCUCUUGUUUGCAGCCUUGUGAGAUCCUAAGCAAAAGAUUCUGGUAAACCUUACCUUACAGUUGAUUUAGUGAAAGUGUGAGAUAAUCUGGGACGCCUGGUGGACGCCUGGGUGGCUCAGCGGUUGAGGGCGUGACCCCCCAGGUCCCGGAUAGAGUCCCACAUCGGGCUCCCCAGGGGGAAUCUGCUUCUCCCUCUGCCUGUGUCUCUGCCUCUCUCUCUCUCUGUGUCUCUCAUGAAUAAAUAAAUGAAAUCUCUUUUAAAAAACUGUGAC
rnacentral:lncRNA from 1 species